rnacentral:lncRNA from 10 species
AGCAAACCCUAGCACUCACCUAGGAACUGCAGUCCUUAUGUCACAGACUGUCUUUCAAGUUUAUUUAGAGCACCAGAACACUUUAGCCCGUGGGUGAAAAGGCUUGCCAGAACUCAAGUUCUAACAUCUGGCAUGGAUGAUUCCCUUCUAGUUAGGGCUGAUUUAAAUACUCCCUUCAUUGCGGUAUGGGGUGACAGGGCUGCUGCUGGGGGAUGGGGAAGAGAUGGCAUUGGUGAUUCAAGACUCUUUGCUAUCCUCUUCAAUGCCUCUUUCAGUGUAGGAAGUUAAAAUCAGUUAUGUAAUGGAAUUGAAUGAAGCAAGUGUCAGAUCUACAUCUCUACAAACACUCACUUUAUCAGUUCAGAGAAUAAAGAGAUGAAUUUAAUAAUGCCACUGGACACUUAUACUCUAUCGGAUCCUAAUAAUUUCUCACACUAAUGAAUUCUUCUAUCAACUUCAUGUUAAUCAAGAGGAGACAGAGCCAAGAAGUGAGUAAUUGCUUACUGAAUUGUGAAAGCUGGGAUGAUUUAACUACAGCCUCCCUAGAAUGUGACAGUCCACAGAAAUAUCUGAUUUCAAAGAGAUGCUUGCAUUCUGUACUGAUGCCAUCUAGAAUUGUAAAUGACCAGUGUCACACUGCUAAGUGGAGAAAGCGUGAAAGAAGAAUCCCAUCAGUACAUUCACGAUAGAGGAAAUAAGAAACAAUGAAAGCCACAAAUAUUUGUGAUCUUGGGAAGUCACUUCACCUCUCUGAGUCCCAGAUUCCUCAGCCUGUAAUAUGAAGAUGAAGAUAUUUACUCUGGAGGGAUUAUUAAGAAUUCAAUGCAAUAAUGUGUGUAACGAACUUAGCACAGUGGUCAACAUCAAGGUCCAUGGUAAUCACUAAUCUGGUUUCAUAUUUCAAAGAGUAGCUUCUUCAAGUCUUCCAAAUUGUGUCCCUCCUUUCUUUGCCACUCCAGGUAACUGCUUAUGGCAUUUCAACUGUUCUUCAUUAUAUAUUAUUUUAAUCAUCUGACAAGUUUUGUCCUUUACCUUUGAAGUCUUCAGCAUUUCUUUCUGGGAAGGUGUCCU